GACGAACGCUGGCGGCGUGCCUAAAACAUGCAAGUCGAACGCGAAGGCCCUUCGGGGCCUGGGAGUGGCGAACGGCGGAGUAAUACGUAAGCAACGUGCCCUGAAGUCUGGGAUAUACCGGGGAAACCCGGGGCAAUACCGGACGUGGUCGGAGCCCGGCAUCGGGAGCCGACUAAACGGUUUUUCGCUUCAGGAGCGGCUUACGGCCUAUCAGCUAGUUGGCGGGGUAACGGCCCACCAAGGCUUCGACGGGUAACUGGUCUGAGAGGACGACCAGUCCGAGUGGGACUGAGACACGGCCCACACACCUACGGGUGGCAGCAGUUGGGAAUCUUGCACAAUGGGGGCAACCCUGAUGCAGCGACGCCGCGUGGAGGACGAAGGAUCUAGGUCUGUAAACUCCUUUUGCUAAGAAAGACUUAGGACGGUACUUGGCGAAUAAGCUCCGGCUAACUACGUGCCAGCAGCCGCGGUAAUACGUAGGGAGCGAGCGUUGUCCGGAUUUACUGGGCGUAAAGGGCGCGUAGGCGGCCUGCUAAGCGU
rnacentral:rRNA from 1 species